AUCCGCAUGAAGUCGCCCGGACGUGGAAGAAGCUGGAACUGUGCACACUGGCUUACCGACGAGUCUUCAGUUGCGUUCGAGAAGACACUGCUUAAGAGGAUUUCCUCUGGUCCUUUAUUUGGAGGAGCUGCUACAUAAAUGAGCUUGAUGAACUAAAUGUCACCAUUGUGACGAUAAUUAGACUGGUCGGACCCUGGAGGGCUGAUCAUGUCAUGAUAAUGCCAUCGGACGACCUAGCCCCAACUGAGUCUUCUUAUGCCCGUCCAUAUGAAAAGACGACUAGGUGUGGUAGGCGUAAACUGAGACGAAGCUAUGCCGUUGAUGCGUCUGUCAGAAAAGCCAGCAUAUUGAAGUCUCAAACCUCAACGGAGCGAACAUUGUACAGAUCGUUUAAAGUUCCAGUAAUCGUCUCACAUACGCCUCCGAGAGACAUGGACUCUGUCCAUCCCCUAACUAUUUUUCAGCCGCGAUCUGUUCCUGUAAGACCCCAGCCCCGAUAAGUCCUUGCAAGCUUUUCAGCCUCCAACUGAGUAUUUUUAGAUCUUCGACAUAGACAGACCCGGUAGGCAUGGUUUUAAAACCCGCUUUUUUGCAAAUCAAGGGUAACUCUUCAUUUAUGAUGCCUGACACCGGGAAAAACAGUAUGUGUCAAAGUCAUCCGAGUGUUAGGAGAAGCCAUAUCAUUAGGGAUGGAAAUAGGCAAUAGGAAGCAAUUACAAGCUAUCGAUUUGCUAUUUCUUCAUUGUCGGCGUUCGUUUCAAAGCGGUAGAGCGAUUUGAAUAAUUUACACUGAACGGUUAGCUCCUCCGAAGGUUGUCAUUUGCAUGGGGAGAUUAUUUUUCCCCCCAUGCGACACUGACGCCACAUACGCUCAUCAAUCGUUGAGAAUCGUUUACAUCACAUCUAGUGUCAGUAAUCCUAGUGAUGUGCAAACUGAGUCAGAAUGAGUGAAUGAGUUAAAUCUUAGCAAUGAAUGCUUCUUCUUCUUCUUUGGCGCCACAACCUUGAAAGGUCUCAGCCAGCCAUUUCUGGCUAUCUUUGACUUGGUUUUACCUGUAGCAAAGUAGUCAGCCUUGCGAACGGGAUUUAGAUGAUUUAAAUCAUCACGAAGAGUUAUUUCAACUCACUUGUGAUUUAACUCUUCGUGCCGACUAACCACUCACUCACUGCGUUUUAACUCCAUCAAGAGUUAAGUAACUCAUUGGUAUUAGAGUUAAAACAUAGCCAGUGAGUUAAUCAUUUUCUCAAGAUUUAACUCUUAAAGAGCGAGUAUAAGCUUUAACUCUCUCUCUCUCUCUCUCUCUCUCUCUCUCUCUCUCUCUUCUUGGCCCAACGACCUCUUAGAUCGUGCCUGCCAUUUCCCGCUUACUAGACCACAUGAUACCACUCACUAUUCUAACUCAUUCACUCGGAGUUAAUCCACGUUACUGAGCGGGUUAUUCCCAUCGCCAGUACAGACCUCGGCGCCAAAGCGGAUUAUUAAAACCACACAGUCGGCGCAAUAUUAUACUUUCCUUCUUUUUGCAGCACUCUGAACAAAACCGCAGAUUUAUUGCUAUCGUCAAACAAAACCACCAUCCAUCGAUGGUGAUGGAAGUGACCCUCCCAGGAGAACCGGUCCAUUGACGACAUUCGAGGCCCAGGAAAGGUGCAAAAAACAAACUCCGCUAGCGUGAUACAAAAAACAAGUCCGGUGAAUAUCUCAGAAUCUUUACGAUAAUGGUUUAUUACACAUCUGCUGUAACGUCAUUACCCCCAGAUUGCUGUGUAGAGCUUAUUCUUCUUCUUUCUUGGCCUAACGAACUCUCUGAUGUCAUGCCUGCCACUUCUGGGGCUUACUAGCUUGGGAACGGUCCGGAUGAGAUUUGAACCCCGGUCCGGGCCGUAUGAAGACCGGCGCCGUUGUCGCCUCUACCACCGGACGUCUAGAGCUAUAUAGCGCGAAAUUAAGGCAAACUGGUAAAUGAAGUUCUUGUGUGAAAUGAUACAAUUGUUCGUUUUUUAUUUGCCAAACCAUGGACUUUCGGAAUACGAAUUAGGGUAUUCAAAUGCUGACGCUACAGAUUUAUUGGCGUAGAAUAGAGUGAGGUAUACAGAACGAGGCAUUUUUAUAACUUUUUGCAACAAAUGCAUGUAUAGGAUGCAGGAUUAAAGAAAGACAGAACUCUUGGAAUCAAGAAAAGAAUAUCAAAAAUAUACAC